rnacentral:lncRNA from 1 species
GGUCUUUUACGUCGGCCUUCGCGAGCGUCUGGGCGGGUGGUAGGAACAAUGGCGCUGUCUUCAGUGGCACAGUGGAGCAGCUCUGAAGAUGCAAAGAUACACGAAAAAACUUCCAGAACAUCUGGGAGAAUAUUUAAUGGAAAAUCGCUUGGUUAAAACCUGACACUUUUAACAGUGAACAGCGUUCUGAGUGUGGACGAGUAGCCAGUGAAGAUAAUGAAUGUCGAAUGUGACUGACUAGCAGCUUCAUUUUGAAUGAGGGUCGCUGUCUGCCCAUUGAUAGAGGCCAGAUUGUCUUGGAAGUUCCAAAGUUGCAACGAUUUCUUUAGUUGAAUCCAUGGACAUGAAACCCACAGAUAUAGAGGGUUGGCCCGGUGCAGUGGCUCACGCCUGUAAUCCCAGCACUUUGGGAGGCCAAGGCGGGUGGAUCACCUGAGGUCAGAAGCUUGAGACCAGCCUGGCCAACAUGGUAAAACCCCAUCUCUACUAAUAAUACAAAACAAUUUGCUGGGCAUGGUGGUGCACGCUUGUAAUCCAAGCUACUCCAGAGGCUGAGGCAGAAGAAUCGCUUGAAUCCGAGAGGCAAAGGUUGCAGUGAGCCCAGAUCACACCACUGCUCUCCAACCUGGGCAACAAGAGCAAAACUCCGUCAAAAAAAAAAGAUACAGGGUCAACUGUACACAUUAAACACUUCUAUCAACUA